UUAGAAUGUAGUGUAAUAUGGUAGCACGAAGAUUUUUGAAUUCUUAAGAUUAGGUUCAAGUCCUAUAAUUCUAG
rnacentral:tRNA from 1 species